rnacentral:rRNA from 1 species
UACGUAGGCGGAAAAUUAAGUCAGUGGUGAAAUCCUGCAGCUUAACUGUAGAACUGUCAUUGAUACUGGUUUUCUUGAAUAUAGUUGAGGUAGGCGGAAUGUGUAAUGUAGCGGUGAAAUGCUUAGAUAUUACACAGAACACCGAUUGCGAAGGCAGCUUACUAAGCUAUGAUUGACGCUGAGGUACGAAAGCGUGGGGAGCGAACAGGAUUAGAUACCCUGGUAGUCC